rnacentral:tRNA from 1 species
UGACCUGUGGUGUAAUGGCAACACACAAGACUUUGACUCUUGGAUUAGAGGUUCGAAUCCUUUCAGGUCAUCCA